UACGGAGGGUGCAAGCGUUAUCCGGAUUUCUUGGGUUUAAAGGGUCCGUAGGCGGACUAUUAAGUCCGCGGUGAAAGCCCACAGCUCAACUGUGGAACUGCCGUUGAUACUGGUAGUCUUGAGUACAAGUGAAGUUGGCGGAAUGUGUGGUGUAGCGGUGAAAUGCUUAGAUAUCACACAGAACACCAAUUGCGAAGGCAGCUGGCUAACUUGUAACUGACGCUGAGGGACGAAAGUGUGGGGAUCAAACAGG
rnacentral:rRNA from 1 species